GGGUGACUGCCGUCGGGGUCCGGGAGGUGCGCCUGCGGGACUGGGUGCACGCGCAUCUGGGCCCCUGCACCGGGCAGAGGCGCCCCACCCCGCGCACCUUGAGGUCCUCGGCGGCGUCCUGCAGCGGGCGCACGCGGUGCGUCCAGUGCUCCCCCGAGCGCUCGCAGGCGGCGCACAGCAGGCGCAGCUCGUCGCCGCAGAAGGCGGCCAGGGGCUCGCGGUGCGCGGCGCACACGCCCUGCGGGACCGGGGACGGCGGGUGCAGGCGCCGCGCCAUCUCGGCCAUCUUGGCGAGCGGGCGGUUGGGCCGCAGGUUCCUCUGCGGGGACAGCUCGCGGCACUCGGGGCAGGCGUACGGGCCCUCGGGCUGGCCCCAGCAGCGCCGGAUGCACUCGCGGCAGAAGUUGUGGCCGCAGUCGGUCAUCACCGGGUCGGUGAAGUAGUCGAGGCAGAUGGCGCAGGUGGCCUCCUCCUGGAGUUGCUUUUUAAUAGAAGAAAGAAGGUUCCCCAAAGUCUGGGCAGCUGUCUCACUUACCACCUACAGCAGGCCGCUUCCUGGGCACAAAACCCAGAGGAGGUCAGGACAACAGACCAGACCCGGGGACAGACCCUGGCUGGCAGGGCAUAUGGCAGCCUGCACGGGGCAUCUGCUUCUGCUGUGUAAACGUGCCCGUGUGUGUGUGAUCUGUAUUGCUGUGGAUCCCACCACUCCAUGUGCUUGACAGAUCUCCCACACUUGGCCACCUCAACCCCUGCUCUCAGGGCCUCGGGGGCCAGCCCGUCCCUGGCAGGCCAGCUGGGCCCUCUUGACUUUCUCUUUGGGGGCAGUGACAGUGAAGCUCAUCCUGCCCGGGAAGUCAUGGGUACCUAUCUGGGCCACCUCCCUGGGCUGCACAGGCCUGGAGCCUGUCAUAGGUGGACUGUCCCUCCAGAGUCAUCGCCGGAGUCCCCACCCCCAGGACCUCAGUAGGUGAGAGGUAGUUACAGUACAGUGAGGUCACUAAGGUGGGCCCAAUCCCGUAGGAUCCGUGUCCUUGAGGCAAGAGGAGUUUAGGAUGCAGACACACAGAGAAAUGGCCAGGUGAGGACAUGGGGAGCAAAUGGCCAUGUACACGCCCAGGGAGGGAGGCCUCAGGAGGAACCAGCGCUGCCCACGCCCGGAGCACAGACUCUCAGCCUCUGGGACCCGGAGACAAUAAAGUCUGUUGUUAGGGCCUCGUCUACAAGGAGGCGGUCUUCCCUACGCAGCCUCAGCUGACUGGAGUCCGAGCUUCCCUUGUUUGAAUCAGUUCCUGCAGUUGGCCCACCCUGACCACACCUGCGCCUGAGCUCCUCCCCCACCAGCCAGCAGGAGCAUCUCCAGGGCGUGGCCCUGCUUCUCAAGUGCUGCGGAGCUCUCCCGUAACUUGGCCACUACCUCGUCCUCCUCCUCCUUCAGGGCCUGGAGGAGGCGCUGCUCCUCCUCCACCAGGAGGAGGCCCAUCUUCUCAAACUCCAUCAGGAUGCGCUGCCUCUGCUCCUUUACCUUCUCCUGCAGGGUCCCGUGGAGGGCAGUGGGCAGAGGUGUGCUCAGGCCCUGGCCUGGGGAUCUGCUGCCCCAGUGUCCCCCAUCUCUCUGGCCGGCUGCACCCACCAGCUUGAAUGCUGGCAGUGCCCCCACUGCAGGGCCCUGGUGACCCACAGAAAAGGAGCCACCCAGGCAGGAGUGCAAGCAUUUCUGUGGGGUGACCUGCUGAGCCCCAAACAGCAGUGUGCCGGCACCUGUGCACCCUCAUCCACUGUGUCUGGACACAGCCAGCCUGGGCUGAGCACACAUUCUGGAUCCUGCUUCUGGUGGGAAUCUGGGCUCUGUGUGUGUGCGUGUGUGUGUGUGCAUGUGCGCACACGCUUAUCCACACAGGACAGCAAGUCCCCGCCCCCUGAGGGCCUUCUGCAGGCUCUCCCACCCUGGCCACCGGCACCUGCCUGCCACUCCGCCAAGGUCUGUUUCUCCCUGGCCUGCAUCUCUCUUGUCUUCAUCAUCUCCUCCCGAAGGGACCCAAUGUCCGCCUCCAACUUCAGCUGUGGGGCACACAGACCACAGGAUGUGGGGUCUGAGGCCCCCCCCUAGCCUGGCCAACAGAUGCACCUGCUAACACCCUUCUGCGUAACUGUCCCUGUAUCUACUCUGUGCUGUGGUUUGCAUGUAUCCUCCCAAGGUUGUGGCUGAGUCCUAACCCCAGCACCUCGGAGGGAGGAGCUAGGGCCUCUUGGGGGGCCAUGAAAUCAUGAGGGUGGGCCCCCGGGACAGGGCCCCUCGCCCCUCCCUUCGAGUGAAGACAGGGAAAAGGAUGAGCUCUCCCCCAGUGGCGCCGGAGCCCUGGCUGGCUGGGACCCCUCAACAACUGUGGCCCAACCACUGCAUCACCAUGGAGGGUGCAGACACGAGGGCCGUGGGUGCCGGCAGUCGCCCCCCCGACCUGUCUGCUGAGGCUUGUGCCUGGCCUCCUUGUGCCCCCCCCACCUCCGGCCGUCCAUCCCCGGCCCCGGCCGCACCUUGUACUCCUGCACAGCCUCCUCGAUGGGGACCACCGUGUGGGGCCGGUGCUCCCGCGACUCCCUGCACAUGACACAGAUGGGGCUCUGGUCGUCCUCACAGAAGAGCUUGAGGAGCUCCUGGUGCGCCUUGCACAGGUCCCUGCUCUGGAAGGCCGGGUGCUGGCGUGCCAUCUCCGCCACCUUGGCGGAUGCACUCCCGGCAGAAGUUGUGGCCACAGGCGGUCAUCACGGGGUCCGUGAAGUAGUCAAGGCAGAUGGAGCAGGUGGCUUCCUCCUGCAGCUUUCUGGCGAGUUCCAAGGCAUCCAUGUCUCCUGGGGCAGGAACAGAAAGAACGCCCCUCACACCCUCUGCCCGGGAGCCCUGGGCUCUCCACGGCCAAGCCCUGUCUUUGGCCAGCCCCGCUACUUUAGGGGGGAUCAUCGUGCCAAGUUGGCUGAGAGUGCCCCCCCAUGACGUCAGAUCUAGCUCCUCAGGUCCCCGCUGCCCUGUCUAGAAGCCUUUAGGCCAGUCUGGAAAGAAUCCCCCUCCCUAUGUCCCCUCUUAGUGAUUUUCCAUGGCUGACCACCCCCUCUGCUCUUUAGCCUUAAGUCCCCCACCCCAUCCUGCGAGCCGGUUCUGCGGGAUCCCUCUCCCUGAAUGGCAAUAACCCUGAAUAAAUCUGUGUCUCCUGUUCCAACUA